CACAUUGGCACCCAAUGUGGAAGAGUAAAAUGCAAAGGCGUCAAAGUUAGUUGUUUUAGGCUCAGGACACUUAAUAAAGGGGAUUUGUGGUGUGGAGUUUUUACUGCAGAUAGAUUGAAGUGGGGGAAUGAGGUUCUGAAGAAUAGGUUUAAGACAGGUGCAAAGACUGAGAUUAGUCCUGAGACAUUGAAGAGGAUCAAAAGUUUUGCAAAGUAAGAUCAAGUAUAGUGAGACUGCCUGUUGAAUUCUUAAUGGGCUAUGAAGGUAGAAUGUUAAGGGAAGAGCUUCUGUUUGUUCUCUUUACAUGUGAAAGCAGGCAAAUUGAAGUAGAGAAGGCUUUUUGUAGCCCCACAUUAAUACAUGACUGCCUUUAGUAUUUUAACCAACUAGUUGAGAUUAAGAUUUGGUUAUUUUUUAUGUUGAAUUAAAUUAAUCACUGGACUUAGUGUAAACAACAACAGUUCACCUCAGUCAGUUUUGUAUAACAAGACUUUCAUCUU